AAAGAGGAUCUUUACUAAAGCAAUUCAAUGCUCCAGACUCUCCUUAUUUCAUGUUUCUCUUAAGCACUCGUGCUGGAGGACUUGGUUUGAAUUUGCAAACAGCUGAUACCGUCAUAAUAUUUGAUAGUGAUUGGAAUCCUCAAAUGGACCAACAAGCAGAGGAUCGGGCACAUCGUAUUGGACAAAAGAAGGAAGUUAGGGUCUUUGUGUUGGUUAGUGUUGGAUCAAUAGAAGAGGUAAUCUUGGAGCGUGCAAAACAGAAGAUGGGAAUCGAUGCCAAAGUUAUCCAGGCAGGACUUUUUAA
rnacentral:misc_RNA from 1 species